rnacentral:rRNA from 1 species
CCUACGGGGGGCUGCAGUGGGGAAUAUUGGACAAUGGGCGAAAGCCUGAUCCAGCCAUGCCGCGUGUGUGAAGAAGGCCUCGGGUUGUAAAGCACUUUCAGUGGGGAAGAAAGCCUUGGGGCUAAUACCCUCGAGGAAGGACAUCACCCACAGAAGAAGCACCGGCUAACUCCGUGCCAGCAGCCGCGGUAAUACGGAGGGUGCGAGCGUUAAUCGGAAUUACUGGGCGUAAAGCGCGCGUAGGCGGUCUGAUAAGCCGGUUGUGAAAGCCCCGGGCUCAACCUGGGAACGGCAUCCGGAACUGUCAGGCUAGAGUGCAGGAGAGGAAGGUAGAAUUCCCGGUGUAGCGGUGAAAUGCGUAGAGAUCGGGAGGAAUACCAGUGGCGAAGGCGGCCUUCUGGACUGACACUGACGCUGAGGUGCGAAAGCGUGGGUAGCAAACAGGAUUAGAUACCCUUGUAGUC